GGGGAUUUAGUUCAGCGGUAGAGCGCUUGCCUAGCAAGCACAAGGCCCUGGGUUCAGUCCCCAGCUCCG
rnacentral:tRNA from 1 species